UAGUGGCGAACGGGUGAGUAACACGUGGGCAAUCUGCCCUUCACUCUGGGACAAGCCCUGGAAACGGGGUCUAAUACCGGAUAACACCUGCCCGGGCAUCCGGGUGGGUUAAAAGCUCCGGCGGUGAAGGAUGAGCCCGCGGCCUAUCAGCUUGUUGGUGAGGUAGUGGCUCACCAAGGCGACGACGGGUAGCCGGCCUGAGAGGGCGACCGGCCACACUGGGACUGAGACACGGCCCAGACUCCUACGGGAGGCAGCAGUGGGGAAUAUUGCACAAUGGGCGAAAGCCUGAUGCAGCGACGCCGCGUGAGGGAUGACGGCCUUCGGGUUGUAAACCUCUUUCAGCAGGGAAGAAGCGAAAGUGACGGUACCUGCAGAAGAAGCGCCGGCUAACUACGUGCCAGCAGCCGCGGUAAUACGUAGGGCGCAAGCGUUGUCCGGAAUUAUUGGGCGUAAAGAGCUCGUAGGCGGCUUGUCACGUCGGGUGUGAAAGCCCGGGGCUUAACCCCGGGUCUGCAUUCGAUACGGGCUAGCUAGAGUGUGGUAGGGNAGAUCGGAAUUCCU
rnacentral:rRNA from 1 species